GGUCCUACGGGAGGAAGCAGUGAGGAAUAGUGGUUAAUGGGGGAGAGGCUGAACCAGCCAAGUCGCGUGAGGGAAGACGGCCCUACGGGUUGUAAACCUCUUUUGUCGGGGAGCAAAGCGAACCACGUGUGGUUCAUUGAGAGUACCCGAAGAAAAAGCAUCGGCUAACUCCGUGCCAGCAGCCGCGGUAAUACGGAGGAUGCGAGCGUUAUCCGGAUUUAUUGGGUUUAAAGGGUGCGCAGGCGGAGGAGCAAGUCAGCGGUCAAAUUGCGGGGCUCAACACCGUACUGCCGUUG
rnacentral:rRNA from 1 species